rnacentral:rRNA from 1 species
UACGGGGGGGGCAAGCGUUGUUCGGAAUUACUGGGCGUAAAGGGCUCGUAGGUGGCCAACUAAGUCAGACGUGAAAUCCCUCAGCUUAACUGGGGAACUGCGUCUGAUACUGGAUGGCUUGAGUUUGGGAGAGGGAUGCGGAAUUCCAGGUGUAGCGGUGAAAUGCGUAGAUAUCUGGAGGAACACCGGUGGCGAAGGCGGCAUCCUGGACCAACACUGACACUGAGGCGCGACAGCACGGGGAGCGAACGGG